rnacentral:pre_miRNA from 1 species
GUGGGGAAGAGGAAGAAAGGGAGCAUGUAAGAUCAGUGGGAAUAGGAACACUGAGGGAAUCAUAUAGCUCAAUUUUCCUUCCUAUAUUGGAGGUAACAAUUUUUUUUUGUGUUUCCCUAGUGCCUCGUAUUCCUAUCAUUAUUAGGUACUACCUCCUCUUCCUUUUGUCU